ACUCGAAAGAGUGGCUAAUACCGCAUGAGACCUGAGGGUGAAAGCGGGGGAUCGCAAGACCUCGCGCGAUUGGAGCGGCCGAUAUCAGAUUAGCUAGUUGGCGGGGUAAAAGCCCACCAAGGCGACGAUCUGUAGCUGGUCUGAGAGGACGACCAGCCACACUGGGACUGAGACACGGCCCAGACUCCUACGGGAGGCAGCAGUGGGGAAUUUUGGACAAUGGACGAAAGUCUGAUCCAGCCAUGCCGCGUGCGGGAAGAAGGCCUUCGGGUUGUAAACCGCUUUUGUCAGGGAAGAAACGACGUCCUCUAAUACAGGGUGUUAAUGACGGUACCUGAAGAAUAAGCACCGGCUAACUACGUGCCAGCAGCCGCGGUAAUACGUAGGGUGCAAGCGUUAAUCGGAAUUACUGGGCGUAAAGCGUGCGCAGGCGGUUAUGCAAGACAGAUGUGAAAUCCUCGGGCUCAACCUGGGAACUGCAUUUGUGACUGCAUGGCUAGAGUACGGUAGAGGGGGAUGGAAUUCCGCGUGUAGCAGUGAAAUGCGUAGAUAUGCGGAGGAACACCGAUGGCGAAGGCAAUCCCCUGGACCUGUACUGACGCUCAUGCACGAAAGCGUGGGGAGCAAACAGGAUUAGAUACCCUGGUAGUCCACGCCCUAAACGAUGUCAACUGGUUGUUGGGAGGGUUUCUUCUCAGUAACGUAGCUAACGCGUGAAGUUGACCGCCUGGGGAGUACGGCCGCAAGGUUGAAACUCAAGGGAAUUGACGGGGACCCGCACAAGCGGUGGAUGAUGUGGUUUAAUUCGAUGCAACGCGAAAAACCUUACCUACCCUUGACAUGUCUGGAAUCCUGAAGAGAUUUGGGAGUGCUCGAAAGAGAGCCAGAACACAGGUGCUGCAUGGCCGUCGUCAGCUCGUGUCGUGAGAUGUUGGGUUAAGUCCCGCAACGAGCGCAACCCUUGUCAUUAGUUGCUACGAAAGGGCACUCUAAUGAGACUGCCGGUGACAAACCGGAGGAAGGUGGGGAUGACGUCAGGUCAUCAUGGCCCUUAUGGGUAGGGCUACACACGUCAUACAAUGGCCGGUACAGAGGGCUGCCAACCCGCGAGGGGGAGCCAAUCCCAGAAAACCGGUCGUAGUCCGGAUCGUAGUCUGCAACUCGACUGCGUGAAGUCGGAAUCGCUAGUAAUCGCGGAUCAGCUUGCCGCGGUGAAUACGUUCCCGGGUCUUGUACACACCGCCCGUCACACCAUGGGAGCGGGUUCUGCCAGAAGUAGUUAGCCUAACCGCAAGGGGGGCGAUUACCACGGCAGGGUUCGUGACUGGGGUGAAGUCGAAACAAGGUA
rnacentral:rRNA from 1 species